rnacentral:misc_RNA from 1 species
GCGAUUUAAUUGAUUUUCUGCAUUAACAUUCGUACUCUGCUAACCAAGAAGUAACCUCCACUGGAGGGCAGGCCCAAAGGCGCAAACCCGGUGCUAAGCUAUGGACAUAGCCUAAACGAGCAAGGGCAUCAGCAAUUGAUCUCACGAUUGCUAACUGAAGGGGCAUUGCCACGGAAGUGAGCGCAGAUUCAGGUAUCCAGUCUGUACAGACCGGUGCCAAACCAUGACUCUUGCUCUCGCAAAUCGAG